CAGGUGUGGAAACCACCCAUGAAUCGAGCUGACAGCCAUUUCAAGCUUUGACAGUGCCUGUUGAGUCUCAGCAGAACUUUUGUGCUGCCUGUGGAGGAUUUCUGUCCGCUGAGGGCACAGCUGAUGUCACCGGCUCCAGUUCAAGUAGUUGGGAUGCUGAUCAAGCAGCAGUAGCUGCCCUUCACAAAAGAAUAGCUACAUUGCAAGAGUGCUUGAACAACAUGAAGCGGAAAGUUGCUACACUGCAACAACAGAAAAGCAGAGCAAACCGUAGAAACCAUGAACUCACGCGAAACAUCAAGAAGUGCCUGUCACCAGAUCAACUGCAAGGCAUGUGGACUUCCAGUAUGCGAGGGAAGCAAUGGUCUACAGAGACUAUACAGAAAGGCCUCAAGCUCCGUUUGGCAUGUGGAUCCAGAGGCUGCAAUGCGGUCAGGGAGCUUGCUGUACCCCUUCCGAAUGAAAGAAUGUUACAAUGUCGUGUUGAAAACAAGUUCUCACCAGGAAUUCUACAUGAGGUUCUGAAGUCCCUUGCUUUAAAGGUGAAAGGAUGGUGUAGCUGAAUAUAUUUGUUACAUUUAUUCUCGUGAGCAUCUCUUUCAGCAGUACACCUUGAGCAAAAGGUGAAACCUUUUCCAGAGCCUUCCACUAUGGCAUGUCUCAUGAUCGUAUCAUGGUUUUCGCACAGAAACCCUAAUAUUUAUUAAGCUUUCAUGUGUUGCUAGUGCCAGUGUUAGUGGCUGUCACUGCGCUCUUAGUCUUGCACGUUUUAGCGGCCAUUCAUAAAGUUUCCACAACAUAUUCUCACCUUUCCUUCACUUAUGACUUCAGGUCCUCUAACUAGGCACAAUUCCACAUAAAUUUCAAUAGGUGAUAAUCUUCUUGCAUGCAAACAUCGAAAUACAGCUUGCACUGUGCACUGCCUGUUUAUUCUUGAAAAGCAUUGUAUUUUAAAUGUCUUUAUUAAUGCCUUUGUUGCCUAAUGCAUGUUGCAUAUUUCAGAUAACCACCAUGAAGGAGCAUGAGAGGCAUGCAGUUCUGAUGGUCGAUGAAAUUCAGUUGAGCUCAGGGCUUGCGUUUGACCAAACGACUGGCACUGUUAUUGGAAGGCCAACUUUACCUUUGGUCGACGGUUCUCUGCCACAUGCUGCAGUGGCAACGCAUGGACUUGUUUUCAUGCUGGGUGGGGUUACACAAAGAUGGAAGCAGACAGUUGCUUAUCAUCUUACUGGAAACUCGUUCAGCAGUGCUGCAGUUCAAGAACAGUUGAUUGAAAUUAUUCAGAAAUGUGAAACAAUCGGGGUUCGUAUAGAUGCAGUCGUUAGCGACAUGGGUGGUGGGAAUAUGGCGCUCUGGAGAGAAUUUGGCAUAGUUGUGGGAAAGCAUUCUGUGUCAAGAGUUUCUUGUUGUCAUUCUGUUGACCAAAAUCGCAAGCUUUAUUUUAUGGCAGGCACCGCACAUUUGCUAAAGAACUUGAGGAACCACCUCACACGUGGUCAAUCGAUUUUCUUUCCCGAAAAUGUGGUCCAAAAGCACAAGCUGCCUUCGAAUGAGGUUAACCUUGUGCCGAUUCAGAAGCUGCUGGAAAUAGACUUUGAACUGCAAUUAAACAUAGCACUGCACUUGAAACCAUCCUUCUUGGACCCAGGACACUAUGAGAAAAUGAAAGUGGGGCCUGCAUUUUCGUUGCUGAAUCACGAUACUGCAGCUGCACUACGUUUCCUGGUCCAGAGGGGAGAUUUGCCCCAAGAAGCGUUGACAACAGCAUGGUUCAUAGAAACCAUUUAUAGGUGGUUCAAAGUACUGACAUCACGUACAACGAAGCUUGGCAUCAGCAAGUUAAAUGAUCAGAAAUAUGAGGGCUCACUGAUUUUUUUAAAGGGUAUGGUAACUCUUUUUACAGAUCUGAAGAUAGGCUCUCCAUCGAAACACGUGUGGAAGCCUGUGCAGACGGGCAUAAUUUUGGUGUGUAAAGUUGCAUUGGAACUUCAGCAUUAUUAUCUUAAUGAGAAGGGCUUAUUUUUUGUUUUGCUCAGCCGAUUUGCCCUAGAUGCUCUUGAGAAUUUGUUCUCUACUCUGAGGGCGAAGAAUGCAGUAUCAAAAGCUCUUCAAUUUCGUAGUGCUAUUCGAGCUGCUACUUUGGCACAGUUCUUUCGGCCCAGUAGAAGUAGAAGCUAUGCUAUCGACAAUGCUCCUUCCCUAGUUGGCAUCGAAAAUUGCCACCCAAGAGCUCCUAAUAGCAAUGAUACAGAAGCUGUUGAAUAUCCCAGUGAUCUUCUCGACAUAAGCAUGAUGGAGCAUGAGUCUUUUAUUUACCUUGCUGGGUUUGUGGUAAAGAGUGUUGCAAAGCACACAGGGAUUUGUGAGCAGUGCAAAACUGCCACAGUGUCGAACGAAGCUAGUGUUCUCACAAAGUUAAAAUCCUACACUGAUGACAGCAAGCUCGUAUCACCAGGUCCAGCAGUACUUCAUUUGCUCGAAACAGCUGAGAAUAUGUUUAGAGUGAAUAGCAACAAGCUUCUGUGCAAUGAAGUUACGAUUGGUCAACUUGUGGCCACCACUAAUGACAGUGUGCAAGCUGUCAAUUGUUUUCCACCUUGCCACAACAUUCAGGAGAGGUUGCUGAGAGCAUUUUUUAAAACCAGAAUUAACAUUCUUCUGCGGAAAGAGAAUAUGCGUUUGGCAGCUGAUGAAGCUAAAGAUGCAAAAACUGGUAGUCGUAGCAUUGGAAAGCAGGCUGCUACAACCAAUGUAAAAUAGUGUGUAUGCCUCAUUUCUUUCGUGUUUU
rnacentral:lncRNA from 1 species